GAUGAACGCUGGCGGCGUGCUUAACACAUGCAAGUCGAACGGAAAGGCUCCUGCUUGCAGGGGUACUCGAGUGGCGAACGGGUGAGUAACACGUGGGUGAUCUGCCCAGCGCUUCGGGAUAAGCCUGGGAAACUGGGUCUAAUACCGGAUAGGACGAUGGUUUGGAUGCCAUUGUGGAAAGUUUUUUCGGUGUGGGAUGAGCUCGCGGCCUAUCAGCUUGUUGGUGGGGUAAUGGCCUACCAAGGCGUCGACGGGUAGCCGGCCUGAGAGGGUGUACGGCCACAUUGGGACUGAGAUACGGCCCAGACUCCUACGGGAGGCAGCAGUGGGGAAUAUUGCACAAUGGGCGCAAGCCUGAUGCAGCGACGCCGCGUGGGGGAUGACGGCCUUCGGGUUGUAAACUCCUUUCGCUAGGGACGAAGCGCAAGUGACGGUACCUGGAGAAGAAGCACCGGCUAACUACGUG
rnacentral:rRNA from 1 species